rnacentral:rRNA from 1 species
AGAGUUUGAUCAUGGCUCAGGAUGAACGCUAGCUACAGGCUUAACACAUGCAAGUCGAGGGGCAGCAUGUUGGUUGCUUGCAACCAACGAUGGCGACCGGCGCACGGGUGAGUAACGCGUAUCCAACCUACCCUUGUCCAUCGGAUAAACCCGUCGAAAGGCGGCCUAACACGAUAUGCGGUUCACAGCAGGCAUCUAACGUGAACGAAAUGUAAAGGAGAAGGAUGGGGAUGCGUCUGAUUAGCUUGUUGGCGGGGUAACGCCACAGGCGACGAUCAGUAGGGGUUCUGGAGAGGAACGGUCCCCCANAUUGGAACUGAGACACGGUCCAAACUCCUACGGGAGGCA